GGAGGAGGAGGCGGCGAUGCGCGUCGGAGAUGCGCGUCAGCGCCGCCUUCUCCCGACGGUCCCGCCGCAGCUGCCGCCUUGGCCGCCCGGCUUCUGGGCCUUCCCGGAGAGCGGGAGAUAAAAGGGACAUCCUCUUUCUCCUCCCCCGGAACAGACCGAGCGACUAGCGUGGAGGGCGGGGAAUAAUACCCUGUGAGGGAACGGGGAAUCCGCCUCGCGAAGGAAAAAGCCCCCGAGUGGGAAAGGCUGGCAGGUCGCCACAGGCUUUCCCUGGACUUGCCAGCCAGACUCUGCCUGUAGGAGUUGCCAAAAUUUAUGUUGAGGUAGCGGGGAGGGAACACGCGAACGUGUGAACGUCGCACUUGCAGCUUUGCCUGGGGAAAGCCCCGGGGAAACCUUUACUGCGGUUUGUGUGAAACGGGCCCUCCGUGCGUGACAUAUAGGGAAGUGCAAUCCACUGUCUCUCGAGACAGAUGCCAAUAACAGGUUUCCUUCCUCUGCGCUUUCCCCAUUUUAUCCUCACAACAACCCUGUGAGGCAGUUGUGUAGUAGUGAGUCACCCAACAGGCUUUGUGGCUGAGUGAGGAUCUGAUGGUCCCGUCUUCACAAUCCUAGGCCUACACUUUACCACACUUGAGUGGUUUUAAUUCUGUUCACUGGCUGUUUGGUUGGUUGUAUCGCCACCUCUCUUCUUUUUUUCAAUAAGGUAAAGAGUGUCAUACCGACGACCUUCUGAUCAGCAAGUCCUAGGCUCUGGUUUAAUCCACAGCGCCACCCGCCUCCCUCUGCAGGUCAUUGUAGCUACCUCUGAUCCAGCUUGGAGGAAACCAACAAGUCUGAAUUGUACCUUUGUACAAUUGGAUAGGGGACGUGGGUGGCGCUGUGGUCUAAACCACUGAGCCUCUUGGGCUUGCCGAUCAGAAGGUCGGUGGUUCGAAUCUCCGUGACGGGGUGAGCUCCCGUUGCUUGGUCCCAGCCCCUGCCAACCUAGCAGUUUGAAAGCACGCCAAAAAGUGCAUUUAGAUAAAUACGGUAGGAAGGUAAAACUGUGUUUCCAUGCGCUGCUCUGGUUUCGGUGUUCCAUUGUGCCAGAAGCAACUUAGUCAUGCUGGCCACAUGACCCGGAAGCUGUCUGCGGACAAACGCCAGCUCCCUCGGCCUGUAAAGCGAGAUGAGGUCCACAACCCCAGAGUUGUCUGCAGCUGGACUUAACUGUCAGGAGUCCUUUACCUUUACAUUACAAUUGGAUAGUUACAUGCACACUUCAGGCAAGCAAGUAGCAUUAUUCAGAGCUCAAGGGCACCAAACCACUCAAGUAGGGUGCAAAACAGGGCCACUGAAGGCUGUGACCUGGGAAGAGUCCUAAGAGCCAGAAAUAGAGGCUUGGAAAGUCUCCAGAUCUGAGGUUCCAUUUCCCUGGGCUAGAGUAUAGAAGCCCCAUCGUGAACUAUUAACCUAUGGUUAUAUGAUUUGUGUGUAACUUUCUGAGGUCAAAGGCCUGAGCUUUAACCUUGUGCAACUUCUUUUUAACAUCUAUGUACCUAUCAGGAUUCCCAAAAAAUGUAGUUUGUGACUGCAACAUCUAUGACUCUCAGGCAGGAACUCCUUUCCAAUUUCGUUGCUUCUUCCUACUAUGCUACCAGGAAGUUUGCAGUAUCUCUUCUUGUUGCUGCUUCCCCUUAUGCACAUAAACCAAUAUACAAUGGUACCUCAUGUUAAGUUCUGGCUUCUGAGAUUCAGAAUUUUUUUUUCUUGUUUCCUCCUCCAAAAACUAAGUGCGUCUUGUGGUCUGGUACAUCUUAUAGAGCGAAAAAUACGGUACUUAAUUCGUUCCAGGGGUCCGUUCUUAACCUGAAACUGUUCUUAACCUGAGGUACCACUUUAGCUAAUGGAGUCUCCCGCUGCCGCCUCGUGAUUUCUGUUCUCACCCUGAAGCAAAGUUCUUAACCCGAGGUACUAUUUCUGGGUUAGCGGAUUCUGUAACCUGAAGCGUCUGUAACCCGAGGUAUCACUGUACUCCUGAUAUAGACAUUGUUCUGAACAUUACUGUCUGUGUGGAAUCAGUGGCACUAAAUUAGGACUUCGUCCUUUUCCUGGCAAGCCCGUAACCUAUCACUUAUCCAGGAUGACCAGUAGGCUAUAGGGUUUUAUUUGCUACAUUUACAUGCCCUCUUUCCAUGGUAGAAAUAAAGGAAGAAUGUGUAGGAUUCCCUCACAGUGCUCCAUCCACACACUCACCCACCCUGGGCCUGGUCGGCUUCAUCAAUAAUAUCACAUCGUGUAUCUUCACACCAUGCUGCUGACUGUUACAGUUGGCAUUCCUCUGGCUGGCCCUGGCUGUUUACCUGCCAAACUGGCUGUAGAGUUGUGCUGGCUGUGUUUAGUCUUUAAACCUCUGAGUAAGCUUGUGUCUGUGGGUGUUGCUGCCCUCCUGACUGAAGAGUCAUGAAGAUCUCUAACGAGGGGGACACUAUGGCUGGGGUCCCCAACAUGGUGUCUCUGGCACCAUGCUCCCCUCAGACACCCUGCUUGGUACUUACCAAGGCCACUGGGUACACCCAGUUUUUAAUCUUUGUAAAAGAACAUCAAGCAAUUAAGGACAGCUUUUGGAUGAGUUGAAUAUUUUGCUUGUUUGGUGGAAAAGGUUCUGCACGCCACCAUUUUUUCUUCCACGAAAUGGGUGUUUUGUGGUGCAGUUCUUAGGUCUUCAAAUGGGCAUUCCGCACCCCAGAGUUGGAGACCCCCUGACCACACAAUGGGCUCUCCUUGAUAACAUGCCCAUGGCACAAGCCAGCAGGGCUUUGUAAGUGACAAAUCUGUCACUUCACUCUCCUAUUGUUGUCCCCAUUAGCAAAUACUAAUGCUAUCUGCUUUUUUUUGCUUAGAGAGCAAAAAAACCUAGUAGAUAACCAUUUAAAUAAUGUAAGAAUUGCUUUUUGUGAUCAUUGUUUUCUCAAAACAGUUUGGAGUUUUAAGAACUGUGAAACUAGGAAACGUAAUGCCUUAAGAUGAAGUUUGAAAUUUAAGAGUCUUAUAAGAAAAAACAGUAUGCACAAUACAAGGUAUUUAAACUACAAGAUUUUGGCCAUUUCACUUUCUGUUAAAAUGAGUUCUGUGGUGUCUCUUAACGCAAUAACUUUUGGACAUUAACAAAGCUGAAUGUUGGAAGAUUCGGAUAAAAGAAAGUACUUCAUACAGCGCAUAGUUAAACUGCAGAACUUGCUUCCACAUGAGGCAUUGAGGCCACCAAUUUAAACAGCUUUAAAAGAGGAUUAGACAAAUUCAGGAAAGAGGGCUAUCAAACACUAUCAGCCCUGAUGGCUCUGCUCUGCCUAUAAUAUCAGUUGCAGGAGAGUUUCCCACAGGGAUCUGGUUCAUCACUGUGAGAACAGGAUGCUGGACUAGAUGGGCCACUGGUCCUGAUCCAGCAGGCUCCUCUUAAAGAAUGGCUCAGGCCGACAAACAUCUGUAUGAUUUGUACACAGUGUGUGAAAUCUGGGAAAUCAAAUAGUGCAAUUAGCUCAAGAGAUAUACUAAAGAUGUAUACCGUGAAGCUGUUGUUAUUCCGAUGUUCUUCCAACUUCUCUGUUCAUCUCAAAGCUAAUUUAUGGAACAGGAAUGGCCUCUGAAAACUGGAGGAGCAUCUGCUAAUCUCUUUUUCUCAGAAUGUUCUCACCCUGCAGGGAAGAUCUUGUAAGGCCUUAAGAGGUACUGCCUCUGGGGAACCACACCCAUAGCUUCACUUGCAGAAAUAUUGAGAAUCAAGAACUACAGAGUUGGAAAGGGAUCCAAUGCAACUAUCCAGAUCAACCCACCAAGCCUUCAAGGAUAUAUUAAAAGCAGGCUUCCUCAAACUUGGCUCUCCAGAUGUUUUUGAGACCACAAUUCCCAUCAUCCCUGACCACUGGGACUGCUAGCUAGGGAUCAUGGGAGUUGUAGGCCAAAAACAUCUGGAGGGCCGAGUUUAGGAAGCCUGAUUAAAAGUACCGGUAACUAGAGAGGAGGCCUCUGCUCCUAUAAUUUGCUCAAAUUGCCUCUUGCUGCCCUCUGCUGCCACCUGGAGGCUGGUUAAUAAAUAACGAGUCAGUUCUGGUUGCAACUAGUGCCUGCUUAAAGAUGGGUCAAUGAAUUCUAGCGUAAUGAGAAUUGAUGAUUACAGUUACUUAUGUUGUUGCUGCAAUCAGCUAAAUGAAACCAUAUUCCCUUCCAUGCAUUAAAAUCUUCUGAGGAGGGUUUCCACCCCACCCUAGCUCCACAAGGGACCCCACUAGCAAAGGCAGGCCGUGGGUUUAUCCUAGAGCAAUUUCAGUUGUUGGCUAGGAUGCUUACUGUCUUAAUAUGUACUCCCAGAUACAAGUGUCAUAAUGUCAGGAAACUCUUGUGUAUUAGAUAGAGGUAAGAAAAAGAUAGCUACGGAAUAUUAGGGUGUGGUGAUUGCUGCUCAGAGUCAGAGCUCCAGUCGUGUGCAAUCUACCUUGUGUGAAUUGCUGCUAGUCCACAGAAACUAGCAGACCAAGACGUGGGUGUUGUAUCUGCUGUUGCACCAAAAACAGAGCUGUGCUAUCCCUAAACAAGAGGUGAUUUGAAAAGUCAGGGACUACGGCUGGUAGCAGGCGGAGCCAGGACCAAAAGAUGGUGGAAUUUGCAGCUCCUCCUCUCUCUGUGUCACCUCAUUCGGUCUCUUACAUUUCCCUUCCUCUCUCACACAAAGCAAAAGAGGAUAUGCUUCUCAGAAGGGCAGUUUGGAGAGCAAAAAGUGAGCCUACAUUAUCCAGAGAACAAGGUGACACUAAGG
rnacentral:lncRNA from 1 species